GGUAAACGGAGAUCCAACGUUAUCCGGAUUUAUUGGUUUAAAGGGUGCGUACGUGGUUUAAUAAGUCAGCACCGGUGAAAGUUUGCAGCUUAACUGUAAAAAUGCCGUUGAAACUGCUAGACUUGAGUGUAAAUGAUGUAAGGCGAAUGCGUGGUGUAACAGGUGAAAUGCUUAGAUAUCACGCAGAACUCCGAUUGCGAAGGCAGCUUACCAAGCUACAACUGACACUGAAGCACGAAAGCGUGGGGAUCAAACAGGAUUAGAUACCCUGGUAGUCCACGCAGUAAACGAUGAUUACUAGCUGUUUGCGAUACACAGUAAGCGGCACAGCGAAAGCGUUAAGUAAUCCACCUGGGGAGUACGCCGGCAACGGUGAAACUCAAAGGAAUUGACGGGGGCCCGCACAAGCGGAGGAACAUGUGGUUUAAUUCGAUGAUACGCGAGGAACCUUACCCGGGUUUGAACGCAGAGAGACAGGAGUGGAAACAUUCUUUUCAGCAAUGACUGUCUGCGAGGUGCUGCAUGGUUGUCGUCAGCUCGUGCCGUGAGGUGUCGGCUUAAGUGCCAUAACGAGCGCAACCCUUAUCUUUAGUUACUAACAGGUCAAGCUGAGGACUCUAGAGAGACUGCCAGCGUAAGCUGUGAGGAAAGUGGGGAUGACGUCAAAUGAGCACGGCCAUUACAUCCGGGGCGACCCACGUGUUACAAUGGUAAGGACAAAGGGCAGCUCACCGGGCGACCGGAUGCGAAUCUCUAAACCUUAUCUCAGUUCGGAUCGGAGUCUCGCAACUCGACUCCGGAAGCUGGAUUCCUUAGUAAUCGCCCAUCAGCCAUGCGCGGUGAAUACGUUCCCGGCCUGUACA
rnacentral:rRNA from 1 species